GGACAGGAUCUUAGAGGUCGGCGAGCUUGGUCUUCCCUCAAUGUCACUGGUACAUCAACACAAUGAUUGGCUUAUUGAGCCCCUACUUAGUGCCAGAGGUCAUGGUGGGUGCUGGAGGGGAUAUGACUAAGACACUGAACAAGGCCCUGCCGCUGACCUCACAGUGGGGAGACAGGCCGGUCAUCAGUCCCAGGAAGGAUUUCCUGACUUUCCCCUGAAGUAGGACAUUGGACCCUGGUGUGAGUGAUGCCCGCAUACUCAGAGGAAAGGAACAUCCUUUUUCUGAAGACACAAGGACACAGAGGAGAAUCUGAGCCAACAGAUGUGGUGACAUUCCCUCCAGGGGCCUCAGCCAUGAAUCUAGCAGUGGGUGAAGACAUCUUGCCAGCCCUACAAUUCCAAAAGCAACAAAGGACUCUUGAGGGUUGUGAGCAACACAGUCAUUGGGGAACACCAGAUGGCUACUGAGGUUUCUCCAGUGGUCCACAGGUGCCAGCUUCUUUCACUGUAAGGUGGGUCAAGUGGUUCACCCGUGUGUGUUCAAGUGGGGCCCAGAGCUGCCUCCACAGGCAGGGUCCCUUUCCAGUCUCCCUGCUCUUUCAUGGGCCACGUUCCCAACCUCUGAAGACUUUCUGAGCCUACCCUACCCCAAGUUUCCUUUUCUUCAGGGUUAACAUGUCUAAUCCCUUCUCCAUUUCUCUAGAAAAG
rnacentral:lncRNA from 1 species